rnacentral:rRNA from 1 species
GACGAACGCUGGCGGCGUGCUUAACACAUGCAAGUCGAACGGAAAGGCCCUGCUUGCCGGGUACUCGAGUGGCGAACGGGUGAGUAACACGUGGGUGAUCUGCCCUGCACUUCGGGAUAAGCCUGGGAAACUGGGUCUAAUACCGGAUAGGAGCCAUUUUUAGUGUGAUGGUUGGAAAGUUUUUUCGGUGUAGGAUGAGCUCGCGGCCUAUCAGCUUGUUGGUGGGGUAAUGGCCUACCAAGGCGGCGACGGGUAGCCGGCCUGAGAGGGUGGACGGCCACAUUGGGACUGAGGUACGGCCCAGACUCCUACGGGAGGCAGCAGUGGGGAAUAUUGCACAAUGGGCGCAAGCCUGAUGCAGCGACGCCGCGUGGGGGAUGACGGCCUUCGGGUUGUAAACUCCUUUCGCUAGGGACGAAGCUUUUUGUGACGGUACCUAGAUAAGAAGCACCGGCUAACUACGUG